UUUCUUUGAGGAGGGAACAAGUUCUUCCAAGGGCUUAUUGAGAGGGUUCAAGGUGAUUAUGAUGCAGGAACUGACUAGUAGUAGCCCCUGGAUCAGAAGGAGCUCAGAAGAAUAGUCUCAUUUACAGGCAAUUUGUUUUUGUGGGGCUGGUUAGGCUGGGCCACCCCUUCCCUUUGGUCUGGGCUACAGAAAUGCCUAAGAUACUUCUUACUUUGUGGAACUCUUAUGUACCCUGGAAGAGGAGGACUUUUUCCAGUUUGGCUGGGGAACUAACUAUCUGCUUGCUAGCAAAAACCAGUGCUAAAUCAGAGGGGAAACUGAGGCAGAAGUUCCACCUGACAGAAAGAAGUAAGUCACUUGUCCACAUGCAGAUUUCCUGCUUUCCUAAAUAAGCUGUUGAUUGGAAGCUCACUAGCAACAUGAAGCAGCUUGCACUUCACACCAGGUGGCACCACAGUCUGAGCAGUAAAUAUCAUACCAGCUUUGGUUGCUGUACUGCAUCUUGCUUUGAUCUCUAUUGCUGAUAAAUUGAUGCAGAAGAGGUAUUUUCAAAUGCAUGUUUCAGAGAGAAGCUGACUGACCCUUCUGAAUAUUUGCAGAUUCAGAAACCAAACUGAGAAAUGUAUAAUUCAUUCAGCUCUGAUAACACACACGUGUUCACCUACUAUGAAGGACAUCUGCACAGCAGCCAACGGGGGUUGGAGCAUGGAAAAUCCCCAGCAGAAGAAGAGAAACAGAAAAGGUGGCAGAGAUUGCUUUUAAAUGUGAUGUUCUCCUGCAAGAGCACUCUUGCCUCACAAAAGGAAGACCUACUGGAGGAGUAGAGCCAGAGGGGCUCCCCCAAGGACAUUGACCUAAUUCAAAAUAUUGUCAGGAGUACUGAGGGCUCUGAGGGGGGAGUUGGUCAUUCUGCAUAGAUGACUCUACUGUGUGGACUAAACAUCAAAGUGUGUGUGUUUAAGAAGUUCCUGUAAAAAGCCUGUUUUCCUUGCUUUAAAUGGUAUGUGGUCCCUGAGGGGUUCAACUCUAAACCAGAGUGACCACAGUGGUUCUCUGGAAUAAUGUAAAUAAGAGGCUUGGGAGGUCUCAGUAUUGGCUUUGGGGCUUAGGACAGUUGAACUGUGGAGUCCUUCUUCCCACAAAGGGUUCCAGAUCAAGAGGUCUGACCCCAGGAAAAUUCCUUAGGAGCCUCCCAGACAGAAGCAGUGACUGGACUUUGCCCAGAUGCAGAUGGCUUGGAAGCCCUUGGGAUCCAAAGUUUGGGUCCAAUGAUAAGAGACUAGCGACCUACCACUAGGGGGACUUCACCAGGUCUGUGACCCAUUCUAUUAGGGCCUGAUCUAACACCCCUUGAGGUAAAUAGAUCUUUUUCUAUUGACUUCAAUGGGCUUUGGAUAAGGCCUUUAAAAACAAUGUUUAAGAUCCCAAAUCAUUAACAUUUUUUAUUUUAUCUCUUAGAUUCUAUUUUACGGGAAAGGCCCAUAUAAGUACCUCAACCUUUUUCUACUUUACAUGUGAAAUGCCUUUUGAUUUCAAUGGGUGCUCUGCACAUAGAACAGCUGCACAAUCAGAGCCUAGACUGUCAACAAAAAACAAUGUGAAAGAGAUGGGCGAUUGAAGGUUCUGUCCAACUAAUGCACAUAAAAGCUCUGCUCUGAUUGAAAUAAGCACUAGGACAUUUUUAUAUAUCCAUGCCUUGAUAUCAGAUUAAGCAAGCAGAUGGAGCAAAUGUGACUUUGAUUUAAAUAUAUCUUUUAGUGGAAAUAAAACAAACUGCAUGACUGUGAUCACACCCCAUACACAACAAUAGAAAACUAGCCUCUCAUUUUGAAAAAUACCAGUCUGAAAACUUUGUCUUCUAUCCUCUGCUUUAUAUAAAAGAUCAACUGGUUUUUAUUCAGCUGUUUUAUGCCAUGCUGCAGUUUACACUUUUGUAGGUAUUUUUAAGCAGCCACGAAGUGCAGAGGCUAACUCUGUUGAUCCAUAAACCUCAGAAAGAGAUGCAUAACGUGUCAUACUGACUCUCUCACUCUCAGCUUGAAAGUGUCUUACAUCAACUCCACCGACUUCUGAGAUGAAAAAGGAAAACACAGAAAUGUGUGUGUUUGGAAAUUCUCUCCAGGCCUUAGGCUCCCUGCCUUACACCUUUGUAUAGUCAUUUACACCUGGGCAAAGUAAGCAUCAGAUGCUACCACCUACUUAACAGAGUGGAGAAUUUUGAGUUGGUAGCGUUUUCCCCCACACUUUGGACGAGGUGUCAAGCAGUGGUGAUUUAGGUCCACUAUCUACAAUACCACAGAUAUGCACGAGCACAAUUCUACCUGCAUACUCAGUCUCUUUCUAGCUGGGGUAUCAUUCCCCCCAUAACCUCUCAAGAAAUCCAUACUUUCUGGAACCUACCACAGAGAACCAGCUAAUCAAUGUUAUAACCCUCCCCACCUCCAAUAGGUGGCAUCCUCAUGCCUUAUUGUAAAAAAUAGCAUUCUAGAUUUGUUGCUCCCAAUGCUGAAUUAACACUAUUAAAAGCUGUGGUAUCUGGGGUCAUUAUUGCCAAACAUGCUAGCGAAGUAUUCUCUUACUCCAUAGAAGCACAGUUGUCACUUAGCCUGCACAUUGACAAAAAUAUCCCAGUGUUCAAAGAUGUCCAAAUAUUUGGAAAGUAACUUCAGCAUGGUUGAUGCAUAGGUCCAAAACUUCAAUAAGUAGUGAUAUUCAGCACAGUUCCCCCUGUGGUGGGGGUAACCUUUGCAGCUUCUCAGUCCAAAUUUACCUUAAAGUUCUUGAUCAACACAGAAUUUAUAAAUACAUAUAGAACUU